rnacentral:rRNA from 1 species
UGGGGAAUAUUGCACAAUGGGCGCAAGCCUGAUGCAGCCAUGCCGCGUGUAUGAAGAAGGCCUUCGGGUUGUAAAGUACUUUCAGUCGGGAGGAAGGUGGUAAGGUUAAUAACCUUAACAAUUGACGUUACCGACAGAAGAAGCACCGGCUAACUCCGUGCCAGCAGCCGCGGUAAUACGGAGGGUGCAAGCGUUAAUCGGAAUUACUGGGCGUAAAGCGCACGCAGGCGGUUGAUUGAGUCAGAUGUGAAAUCCCCGGGCUUAACCCGGGAAUUGCAUCUGAUACUGGUCAGCUAGAGUCUUGUAGAGGGGGGUAGAAUUCCAUGUGUAGCGGUGAAAUGCGUAGAGAUGUGGAGGAAUACCGGUGGCGAAGGCGGCCCCCUGGACAAAGACUGACGCUCAGGUGCGAAAGCGUGGGGAGCAAACAGG